rnacentral:lncRNA from 1 species
UUUUUCAUCAAAUUAUAUUGGUAACCGUUACAUUACAUCUGAUUAUUACCAUCAACAGUCACAUGAUGUGUUGCUCCCAAGCCAGGGCACCAAGUUUGGGAUACCAAAUUGUCAGGACCAGAGAGUAUUGUCUGAGCUUGUUGUGAGAUAAUGAACUAACAGUGGAGGUAAAUUAUGUGAUACAUUUAAAAAGUCCUUCUCUACACAUUCCAAUAGUAAGGCUAUUGUCAAAUAAUGAGGGAUAUCUAUGAAGCACCGACACUGGCACAUUGACAUCGAUUAUAUUUUUGAAAAAAUGAAAAAGUGAUUGAACUCAACAAUAUAUGUCGAUGUUGUGUCGGUGUCUGACACUGACGUGUGUCCGAUACUAGACACGUCAUUAAUUUGAAGUGUCGGUGCUACCUACUAAAUACUAUCUUAUUACUUAAAUUUAUGGGUUUCUUUGUUUUUCGAGAAAAAGACAAUUCCAGGCUAUCAUUAGUGUUGAAUGAACUGUGAUUUGGAAGAAAAAUCUAGAGAAAAGGAUUGGAGAGGAUGUAUUGCAUUGGUUUGGAUUACAAGAAAUAUGGCCUUGUCAAAAAUAUUGCUGAAGUAGCAUCCAGUUC